UAGUGCAUUGGAUUGGGGAGAACAACUGUUCAGCUCAGUGACAAACCCGGAAGGUUAUGGGGAUCGAUUACAUGUUCUGGUCUGGUUAAGAGUUACAAUCACGAUUUGCAACGGUACAUUUUGUAAAAGUAUUAUGUGACUAUUCUGAUCUACGACAAUGUUGGAUAUUACUAGUGAAACAAAUUGUAGAUGUGUGCUGACGCGGUGAGGUGAACAAGACGGGUCGGAUGAGCACUUUCCUUCUACUGAUCACUAUCACGUUCAUUAAACUUCAUCUUCUGCACCGAAAUUCCAGAAAGCUACCGUCUGCUUUUUGGCUGGAGCUGUGAAGUCGUCGGCUUCUGUUUAUCUUGUGCCGGGCAGAGACAGAGAGAGAAGGGAUCACUUGUCAGAAAAACCAAGUGAGACACAUUUAUAUCUACUGCUACCUCCACCUUAGCUUGGACUGCCUAUUGAACAAUGAGGCAUGGCUGUCACUCUUCUGUGCCCAGCAGACACCCCCGUGAACUGAGUAUCAAUUAAUUUCAACAUGAAGUGUUUUGAAAGCUGAUUGGAAGAAGCAAGUUUUCCUCUCAUUUGGGUUGCCUGAGUGCAUUAAUGCCUAAAGCAGUUGCCGAAGCAGGUCCAAUGUGGUUAGGGGAAAUGAUACAAAUAUUGAAAAACAACAAUUUAAGCACAUUUGUUAAUUCUGAAACUGCUUUGUACACUCCAGAAAUUCCUGAAAAUG